GAUGAACGCUGGCGGCGUGCUUAACACAUGCAAGUCGAACGAGAAAUGUAGACGGAAACCUUCGGGCGGAAGCCUUCAUUUCGAGUGGCGGACGGGUGAGUAACGCGUGGGUAACCUGCCUCAUACAGGGGGAUAACAGUUGGAAACGACUGUUAAUACCGCAUAAGACCACAGCAUCGCAUGAUGCGGGGGUAAAAACUCCGGUGGUAUGAGAUGGACCCGCGUUCGAUUAGCCAGUUGGCGGGGUAACGGCCCACCAAAGCGACGAUCGAUAGCCGAUCUGAGAGGAUGACCGGCCACAUUGGGACUGAGACACGGCCCAAACUCCUACGGGAGGCAGCAGUGGGGAAUAUUGCACAAUGGGGGAAACCCUGAUGCAGCGACGCCGCGGGAGUGAAGAAGUACUUCGGUAUGUAAAGCUCUAUCAGCAGGGAAGAAAAUGACGGUACCUGAGUAAGAAGCCCCGGCUAACUACGUG
rnacentral:rRNA from 1 species